GAUGAACGCUGGCGGCGUGCCUAAUACAUGCCAGUCGAGCGAACAGACGAGGAGCUUGCUCCUCUGACGUUAGCGGCGGACGGGUGAGUAACACGUGGAUAACCUACCUAUAAGACUGGGAUAACUUCGGGAAACCGGAGCUAAUACCGGAUAAUAUAUUGAACCGCAUGGUUCAAUAGUGAAAGACGGUUUUGCUGUCACUUAUAGGUGGAUCCGCGCCGCAUUAGCUAGUUGGUAAGGUAACGGCUUACCAAGGCGACGAUGCGUAGCCGACCUGAGAGGGUGAUCGGCCACACUGGAACUGAGACACGGUCCAGACUCCUACGGGAGGCAGCAGUAGGGAAUCUUCCGCAAUGGGCGAAAGCCUGACGGAGCAACGCCGCGUGAGUGAUGAAGGUCUUCGGAUCGUAAAACUCUGUUAUUAGGGAAGAACAAAUGUGUAAGUAACUAUGCACGUCUUGACGGUACCUAAUCAGAAAGCCACGGCUAACUACGUG
rnacentral:rRNA from 1 species